GUUUGUAGUGACUGAGUGUUGUGUGUGCAGUGUUCAAGUGUGUGUAUUUUGCUCACCUCCUGCUUACCUUUCCCUGGUGGACCGGUGAGAGUGAAAGGUGAGUUGGAUUCCCUAGUGGUCCAGUGGGGAGUCAUUGUGUUCUGCACCAAUAUACUGUGAGCUCCCUGACAGUUCUGGAGCUCCGUUAAUAACUCAGAAAGCUG